CAUCUUACGCUCAGUGCCCGAGGCUUCGCUCGAUUAAUCGGUUGGCCCAAUCAUCGACUUUAUCGAAACUCAGCAGGCUUUUUGUGAAAGUGUCUAAGAAGUGGGUCAGUUACGGUGUAUCGCGGUGGUAAUUAGCAUGAGCCGCAUCGCGCUGCAGUUUGUCAUAAAAUGAGCGAAUAGACUGGAGCCAGCAGACGUACCUGCAAUCUACAUAAACACAGCACAGCGACAAUGCCUGCAGGGGGCGUGGUCGUGAGCAUCCACACAGUCAGCACGCAAGGAAGGAAGAAGAGAAAAAAAAGAAGAGGACGAGGUUUCAUCCGAGUCCUUUCGGGAUUCUUGGAAUGUUUGGGGGGAGUGGCAAGAGGUGCCAUCACGCCGUAUGCUAACGUGUUAGCCACGGCAAGGCGUGCUUCAUUAGUCGCAUGUUUAAUGCAGGGCGUCUGCAUAAAAAAACAGCACUUUAACAUUCCCCUGCUGCAAAUCCUCAACUCUUUUCUCAUGUAUAUUUCUUUAAUGUCUAUUUGUAAUAUUACACUUUGCCUGGAGCGGAUGGGCCACAGCUAAGUGGAUCCUAACGUAUUGUGUCUCACUCAGUCAAUACUACGUCAUCUCACGAAUAAGAUAAUACAAAUGAAUACACGCUGAACUGGUUGCCAGCCAAUCGCAAGGCACACAAUAUCUUGCACGAAUCUUCACAAUAAUUCAUUAAAUGGCGCCAAAUCUUA